AGUCUGACCCUUUCCCUUUGGCACAGGACCAGGGGUUGCAGGAGGUUGAGACACUGCAGCGCCGGCCAGGACCUGGGGCCUUCACACGGCUGAAGCAGGCACUGAAAGAGCUGGUGGCGGGCAGCAGGCGAGCGGAGAGCCUCCCCUUCCUUGCUGCAGACUCUGAGAACCUGUUGGCAAAGCAAGGAUUGUGGCUCUUAUGGGGCCUGAGUCAGAGAAACGUGCCAGAGAAAGUGGCGCUGGCCAAGAAGCUCCUGGUGAAAUUGCGCUUCCUGGCCCAGGAGACUUCAGCUACUUCCAGCUCCGGGCCCACUUGUACCAGACCCAAGGGGUGCUGGCAGCAGAUGACAGCGGG
rnacentral:lncRNA from 1 species